rnacentral:tRNA from 1 species
GGGCCGUUAGCUCAGUGGUAGAGCAUCUCCCUUUUAAGGAGAGGGUCGUGCGUUCGAAUCGCACACGGCUCACCA